rnacentral:lncRNA from 1 species
AGAGCACUUAAUUUAAUUUUUCCUCUAAGUGACCCAGGGCUGUUCCGUCUGCUAGAUGGAAGGGUAACAUUGCCUUAAAACAGAAAUAUGCAGGCACGGGCUAUUUUUGGCAGAUGAGUGUGUCCUCGUUCCCAAAGCAGUUUUGGUCUAAUGGCAGGGUGCGGACCUUCCAAAGUGGGCCUGGCUCAGGACACGGGCUGCUGCUUCUCUGCCUUCGGGCAUCUGGAGAGAACUGGCUGGCACUUGGAGCACUUGGCCUGGAGCUCCAGCCAGCAGGCCAUACUGGCUCAUCUGAGGCUAAAAUUCAUCUCACUUGAAGGGUGGGGAAAAUCCAUGCAUCUCAGGCUAGGUUCAAUUGGGCUUUUGCUAGCAUCUCAUCAUCACGUGUGGAAGGAGGGAGUGCGGGGCCUCCUUCCCUCAGACCCCCGUGGGAAGUGGUUGCACCGUGGUAGGGGUGGGUGGAGGACCCUGCUGAACAGCCUGCAUUUUUUUUCUAAGAAGUAGAAUGUCUUCCCGGCCCAGGUCUGUUUCAGGGUCUUUCAUUUUUCUGGUUUAUGGCCAUGCUUGCUGGCUUCAGUGUGACAACUCCUAGAAAACAGUAGUGAAAACUCCAACCUUUGUGUGCUGACUCUUGUAGGCCAAGGGGGCAGAGAUCUCAAAAUGAAGGUUGCCCGAGGUUCCCCUCCAAGAAGGCCUACAAGUGACCUUGGGCUCAACCUGGGGGCUGGUGUUUGGCCCUUGUCCCAAACAAGGAAGCCCUCAGCAUCAGCCAUAUUAGGGUUGUCAGCACCCCAAACGCCUACCCUGUACUAUAGCCAUGAAGAAAGAUGAGCCCCUUCCACAGUAGGCCAUGGGGUGCUGUGUGGGCAUGGGUAGUGGUGCCCUUGAUGGGAAUGUGAUCCUGCAGGUGUCUGCCUUGCACCCUGCUGCAGCCCAUGCACUGCACUUGAGGUGCAGGGCUACCCCUUUACUCUGAGGCUAGGCAUCCAGGCAGGUGCAGGAUUCGCCAGGGUGUGGCCUCCAGGUGCACACUUCAGCAGCAGCACUGGGGUCCCCAGAUCUCCCCACGCUCUUGGUCACAGCUUAGACCGGGGUGGCAGGGUGGGAGGCAACUUAGAGGCAGGGACAGACAGCAGACCACCAGUGGCCCCCAGCCUGUUGGUUGGGACAUACGGACAAGGCUGGUGGCUUUCUGGGGUCCAAGUGAAGUGUGGCAG